UAAUAGUAAAGUUGAGUUAAAAAAAUUAGUGAGCUUUACUCAUUUCUGCUUACUUUGUUGACCUUACUUUAAGAAACUUAGUAAAGAACACUUUUUGGUGAGUAAAGUUAUUAAACUUAUUAUCUCAAGUAAGCUUUACUUUAAAAAAAUGAGUGAGGCGGACUCGGAAGAAACUCGGGUGCACUCGGCAGCACUCGGCUCGAAUACGCAUGCGCAGUCGACCACUGAAGACGUUCUUUGCCCGAGACGGAUUGGCGGCAGCGAGAAGGCAGUGCAGGUGUGCGAGUUACUUUCAGGCUUUGAAAAACCUGGCAAUGAAUUAGUGUCUCCUGUGACGACCAUGAAGGAACGAUGAGGGGAGCUGAUGUAAUCUGUUCAAUCUAGAAGCCACUAGUUUUCUGCCCAGUGUGAUGUAGUAUGUUGUAAUGUGUUUACUGUAGGUCUAAUAUGACUAAAUAUUAAUUUAUUUCUCUUUCCGUUAGAUUAUGGCUGAGUUCUGUCGCUUAUCAAGCAAAAAUCUGAGUUGCAAUCAGAGUUCUUCAAAGAUCUCGACAAAUACACUCCUCGCUUCCUGGAGAAGUUCAAAACCCAGAGGGGGAAAGUGUCGGACAGAAACUUGAAUAUCUGCAACAAGUCACACCUGGGAGCACAGAUGUGACUGGGAGGUGAACAGCAGUCCUCCGUGGCUCUCCCGUCAUCCUUGGAGAUGACAACGCAGACUUCUUCAAGAAUUUGACUCUGAUGACCUUCUGGACGUGUCCCACGCCUCCAUUGGGACCCUGACGGUGCUGAAGACAUCGUGGCCUCCUCACUCGCUGGACCUGGAGUCUACAGCUACUGCCGUUGUUUUGGGAGGAACAGUCGUGAUGGGUGACCGUGAUACUCUUCCCCGUGCCGUGUGGCUACUCUUCGGACUUAUUUACCCCUGAAUUUGGAGUAUCCUCAACGAGUGAGGAACACCUUCUGAAUUUAUUCAUAGAGUGCUUCUCACUUGGACCAAAAACCCUAAAAUACAAUCACUCAAAAAUCUACUGAUGCCAUAAGGGACUG